UGCAGUUGAGGAAAAGGUGGCCCAUCUGG
rnacentral:piRNA from 1 species